rnacentral:rRNA from 1 species
UGAUGUUUCGCGCUCUCGCUGUUUGCAUGUUUGUGCGCUUUGGGUGUACUUUUUCGUAUGGUUGGCCAACAUCAGUUUCGAUCACUAUAAAAUGACUGGCGGAAUGUAGCUUCGAUUUCGGUUGAAGUGUUAUAGCCUCUGGUAGAUGUGGUAAUUGGGACUGAGGAUUGCAACGAAUAUCCUUUGGGCUAUCCGUCUGGCCUCUGAAAGUUGCUUGGGUGCUGAAAGCUUGCUUAUGGUUAUCUAAGUUAACGGUCAAUAGGUUAGAACGUGAUUACAUUCGUUAAGGAUGUUGACGUAA